GAUGAACGCUGGCGGCGUGCCUAAUACAUGCAAGUCGAGCGAACGGACGAGAAGCUUGCUUUUCUGAUGUUAGCGGCGGACGGGUGAGUAACACGUGGAUAACCUACCUAUAAGACUGGGAUAACUUCGGGAAACCGGAGCUAAUACCGGAUAAUAUUUUGAACCGCAUGGUUCAAAAGUGAAAGACGGUCUUGCUGUCACUUAUAGAUGGAUCCGCGCUGCAUUAGCUAGUUGGUAAGGUAACGGCUUACCAAGGCAACGAUGCAUAGCCGACCUGAGAGGGUGAUCGGCCACACUGGAACUGAGACACGGUCCAGACUCCCACGGGCGGCAGCAGUAGGGAAUCUUCCGCAAUGGGCGAAAGCCUGACGGAGCAACGCCGCGUGAGUGAUGAAGGUCUUCGGAUCGUAAAACUCUGUUAUUAGGGAAGAACAUAUGUGUAAGUAACUGUGCACAUCUUGACGGUACCUAAUCAGAGAGCCACGGCUAACUACGUG
rnacentral:rRNA from 1 species